GAUGAGGUGGCCAAGAGGUUAAGGCAAUGGACUGUUAACCCAUUGUGCUCUGCACGCAUGGGUUCAAAUCACAUCCUCAUUG